rnacentral:rRNA from 1 species
GAUGAACGCUAGCGGCAGGCCUAAUACAUGCAAGUCGAACGGGACUAAGUAGCAAUACUUAGUUCAGUGGCGCACGGGUGCGUAACGCGUAUGCAACCUACCUUAAACUGGGGGAUAGCCUUCCGAAAGGGAGAUUAAUACCGCAUAAGAUCACACGAGGGCAUCUGAGAGUGAUUAAAGAUUUAUUGGUUUAAGAUGGGCAUGCGUGCCAUUAGCUAGUUGGUAGGGUAACGGCCUACCAAGGCUACGAUGGCUAGGGGUUCUGAGAGGAUGAUCCCCCACCACUGGUACUGAGAUACGGACCAGACUCCUACGGGAGGCAGCAGUAGGGAAUAUUGGGCAAUGGACGCAAGUCUGACCCAGCCAUGCCGCGUGCAGGAUGAAGGCCUUCUGGGUUGU